rnacentral:lncRNA from 1 species
UGGCUCUAGCUAGUUUCCUGGGUUGGGCUGAAUGCUGAAGCAUGGUGAGCAAUGAGCCGUUUUACAGGAAGGAAGAAGGAUCACCAGGUCACAUAGCAAUUAAAGGUCGGCCAGGAUCUGGGCUCAGGUGUCUCCGUCCAUGUGACGCCUCCAGUAGGGUCAAACUUGCUGUGGGGAGCUGUGGAGUCUGCUGGAAAAACCAGGCAAGAGUGUGAUUUCACCCCCGUUGUCCACGGUAUGCUGAGCAGCACUCAGAGCAGCAGUGUGACAAGAGUCAGACUCAGCUUCCUGCCGCAGUCUGACCUCCUGCAAGCCUGUUCGUCGUUCUCAGCCUCAGUUUCCCUGAUGGUAAAAU